CUCUUCUCUUCUCUAUCCUUUUUAUCUGAUCCUUGGCCUGAGGCCUUCUUUGGUCUCCCUCUUGAAAGCUCUGCGCAGCUUUCCUUCAUUGGUUUUCAGCAAGUGCUGCUCAAUUUCAGUCAGCAAUCUGCAUGAGAUUUGUAAACUUUUUUGUUGAAGAGGAAGACUGUUGCAGAUAAGUAAUGGUAUUUUCCUAGUUUUCUUCUGUUUAGAAUUUUUUAGAUAAACUUUCAAAUGCACGAGUCUAUGGUGGCACUGAAGAUCAAGAUCUCGAAGAAAAAAAACAAAAUCAUUUCGUUCAGACAAUAGAGAUGCAAAGAUCGUAAUGUAAUGUAGUUCGUUCAAAUUUUUAUAGCUUUAAAUCUAUGAUAUAGCCCGUUUAUCUUGGCAUGAAA